CCUACGGGCGGCCGCAGUGGGGGAUAUUGCACAAUGGGGGGAACCCUGAUGCAGCGACGCCGCGUGGGUGAAGAAGCGCCUCGGCGCGUAAAGCCCUGUCAGCAGGGAAGAAAAUGACGGUACCUGAAGAAGAAGCCCCGGCUAACUACGUGCCAGCAGCCGCGGUAAUACGUAGGGGGCAAGCGUUAUCCGGAUUUACUGGGGGGAAAGGGGGCGCAGACGGCGAUGCAAGCCAGGAGUGAAAGCCCGGGGCCCAACCCCGGGACUGCUCUUGGAACUGCGUGGCUGGAGUGCAGGAGGGGCAGGCGGAAUUCCGGGUGUAGCGGUGAAAUGCGUAGAUAUCAGGAGGAACACCGGUGGCGAAGGCGGCCUGCUGGACUGCAACUGACGUUGAGGCCCGAAAGCGUGGGGAGCAAACAGGAUUAGAUACCCCAGUAGUC
rnacentral:rRNA from 1 species